UUGUUGCGAACGUCGACGAGUUGAUGUA
rnacentral:sRNA from 1 species